UACCUAGUUGAUCCUCCCAGUAUUCAUAUGACUGUCUCAAAGAUUAAUUCAUGCACGUGUAAGUAUAACUAAAUUCAGACUAUUAAACUGGGAACCGGCGAUGCAUCAUUCAAAUUUUCGCCCUAUCAAAUUUUAAUGGUAGGGUGGUGGCCUACCAUGGUGGUGAUGGGUGACAGAGAAUUAAGGUUUGAUUUUUGAGAGGGAGACUGAGAAAUGGCUACCACAUCCAAGGAAGGCAGCAGGCGCACAAAUUCCCCAAUCCUGACACGGGGAGGUAGUGAUAAUAAAUAACAAUACCGGGCCCAAUGUGUCUGGUAAUUGGAAUAAGUACAAUAUAAAUUGCUUAACGAGGAUCUAUUGGAGGGCAUGUCUAGUUCCAGCAUCCGUGGUAAUUCCAGCUCUAAUAACGUAUAUUUAAGAUGUUGUAGUUAAAAAGCUCGUAGUUGGACUUUGGGAUGGGCUGACCGAUCCGCCUAUGGUGUACACCAGUCGUCUCGUCCCUUUUGUCAACGAUGUGCUCCUAGCCUUAACUGGAAAAGUCAUGCCUACGAAGCUGUUACUUUGAAGAAAUAAGAGUGCUCAAAGCAAGCCUACACUCUGUAUACAUUAGCAUGGGAUAACAUUAUAGGAUUUCAGUCCUAUUACGUUGGCCUUCGGGAUCGGAGUAAUGAUUAACAAGGACAAUUGGGAACAGUCGUGUUUCAUAGUUAGAGGUGAAAUUCUUGGAUUUAUUAAAGAUGAACAACUGCAAAGUCAUUUUCUAAGGAUGUUUUCAUUGUUCAAGAAUGAAAGUUGGGGGCUCUAAGACGAUCAGAUACCAUCCUAGCAUCAAUCAUAAACGAUACCGACCAGGGAUCGGCGGAUGUUGCUUUUAGGACUUCGCCGGCACCUUAUGAGAAAUCAAAGUUUUUGGGUUUCGGGAGGAGUAUAGUCACAAGGAUGAAACAAAAUAGAAUUGACAGAAGGGAACCACCCUGAGUGAGCCUGCAUCUUAAUUUAAAUCAACACUGGGAAACUUACCAGGUCCAGAUAUAGUAAGUAUUGACGGACUGAGAGCUCUUUCUUGAUUCUAUGGGUGGUGGUGCAUGGUCGUUCUUAGUUGAAAGAGCGAAUGCCUAGUUAAUUCCGUUAACGAAUGAGACCUCAGCCAGCUAAUUUGCUAUGCGGAGUUAUCCCUUCGCGGCCAGCUUCUUAGAGGGACUACGACCUUUUAGGCCAUGGAAAUUUAAGGCAAUAAUAGUUCUGUGAUGCCCUUGGAUGUUCUAGGCCAUAUGCGCGCUAUACUGACAUAUUUAAUGAGUUUAUAGCCUUGGCUGACAAGCCCAGGUAAUCUUUGAAAUUUCAUCAUGAUAGGGAUAGAUCAUUGCAAUUAUUGGUCUUCAUUGAGGAAUCCUAGUAAGCGGGACUCAUCAACUCGCGUUGACUAUGUCUCUUCCCUUACAAACACCGUCCAUCACUCCAACUGAUUGAAAAAUAUAGUAAAAUUUUUGCAUCGCAGUGACAUGGGUGAUUCUCUGCCCGUGACGUCGUGAGAAGUCCAUUGAAUAUUAUCAUUUAGAGAAGGAUAACUGACAAGGUUUCUGUAGGUGAACCUGCAGAAGGAUCAUUG
rnacentral:rRNA from 1 species